rnacentral:rRNA from 1 species
GACGAACGCUGGCGGCGUGCUUAACACAUGCAAGUCGAACGAAGUGGCGAACGGGUGAGUAACGCGUAAUCAACCUGCCCUUCAGAGGGGGACACAAGUUGGAAACGACUGCUAAUACCGCAUACUGAGGGAGGGGAUUGCGUCUGAUUAGCUAGUUGGGGGGGUAACGGCCCACCAAGGCGAUGAUCAGUAGCCGGUCUGAGAGGAUGAACGGCCAAAUUGGGACGGAGACACGGGCCAGGCUCCUACGGGAGGCAGCAGGGGGGAAUCUUCCGAAAUGGACGAAAGGCGGACGGAGCAACGCCGCGUGAGUGAUGACGGCCUUCGGGUUGUAAAGCUCUGGUAAUCGGGACGCGGUACCGGAAUAGAAAGCCACGGCUAACUACGUGCCAGCAGCCGCGGUAAUAC